rnacentral:rRNA from 1 species
GACGAACGCUGGCGGCGUGCUUAACACAUGCAAGUCGAACGGAAAGGCCCUGCUUUUGUGGGGUGCUCGAGUGGCGAACGGGUGAGUAACACGUGAGUAACCUGCCCUUGACUUUGGGAUAACUUCAGGAAACUGGGGCUAAUACCGGAUAGGAGCUCCUGCUGCAUGGUGGGGGUUGGAAAGUUUCGGCGGUUGGGGAUGGACUCGCGGCUUAUCAGCUUGUUGGUGGGGUAGUGGCUUACCAAGGCUUUGACGGGUAGCCGGCCUGAGAGGGUGACCGGCCACAUUGGGACUGAGAUACGGCCCAGACUCCUACGGGAGGCAGCAGUGGGGAAUAUUGCGCAAUGGGCGGAAGCCUGAUGCAGCAACGCCGCGUGCGGGAUGACGGCCUUCGGGUUGUAAACCGCUUUCGCCUGUGACGAAGCGUGAGUGACGGUUAUGGGUAAAGAAGCACCGGCUAACUACGUG